rnacentral:rRNA from 1 species
AAGUCGUAACAAGGUCUCCGUAGGGUGAGUUUUGAACGACUUCUAACUAAUAUUGAAUGAAUGCUAACUAGAUUUCCAGUGAACCUGCGGAGGGAUCAUUACUGAGUGAGGGUCUCUCGACCCGACCUCCAACCCUUUGCGAUUAAACCUCUGUUGCCUCGGGGGCGACCCGGCCCGCGUCUAGGGCCCCCGACGGACCAUUUCAAAACACUGCAUCUUUGCGUCGGAUUGAAUAAAGUAAAUGAUUAAAACUUUCAACAACGGAUCUCUUGGUUCUGGCAUCGAUGAAGAACGCAGCGAAAUGCGAUAAGUAAUGUGAAUUGCAGAAUUCAGUGAAUCAUCGAGUUUUUGAACGCACACUGCGCCCCUUGGUAUUCCGGGGGGCAUGCCUGUUCGAGCGUCAUUAUCACCUCUCAAACUUCGGUUUGGCGUUGGGCUUUAUAGUUAUAGAUCCCCUAUAAUUGGCCUCAGAGAUAGUGACGGCGUCCUAGAAGGAACCGGUACGAGGAGCUUCUAACCAAGCAUGUACACGGCAGGACUCUAGGGUGCUGGUCUUAAUACACUGUUCUUCGGAGCAUAUUUUUCAAGUGUUGACCUCGGAUCAGGUAGGAAUACCCGCUGAACUUAA